rnacentral:rRNA from 1 species
GCAAGUCGAACGAACUUAGGCCUAGCUUGCUAGGAACGGUUAGUGGCAGACGGGUGAGUAACGCGUGGGAACCUACCUUGUAGUAUGGAAUAGUCCCGGGAAACUGGGUUUAAUACCAUAUACGCUCUUCGGAGGAAAGUUUUUCGCUAUAAGAUGGGCCCGCGUUAGAUUAGUUUGUUGGUGGGGUAAUGGCCUACCAAGACUACGAUCUAUAGCUGGUUUGAGAGGAUGAUC